AUGGUUACAAAAAGUUUGAGAAUAGUUUGUUUAACUGAGCUUUUUAUGCUUUUGUUAAGACAAUUUUAUGUCGGCUCACGAAUUGUCCUUGUAAUGAGUCCAUGAAACGUUCCAUUUAGCUGAUUUCUAUGUUUUGCUGUAUAUUUUCAGUUCCGCUACAAGACGAGGGUUUACAAACAGACUAACCUUGAUGAAAAGCAAUUGGCCAAGCUCCACACCAAGGCUGGUCUGAAGAAAUUUUUGGAAUAUAUUCAACACGGUUCUGCAGAGAAGGUGGCCAGGUUGCUUGAUAAAGGCCUAGACCCAAACUAUCAUGAUUCAGAAACAGGAGAGACGCCGCUCACCAUGGCCUCACAACUUGAAAUAACUGUGGAUGUGAUUAGGAUGCUGUGCCUUGGAGGGGCCCACAUUGACUUCCGAGCCCGAGAUGGCACCACGGCUCUGCACAAAGCGGUCUGCUCCAGAAACUACAAUGCCCUUAUGGUAUGAUUAAUUUAUACAGUCAUUUGCUUUCUAGUAUCUUUCU